rnacentral:rRNA from 1 species
GACGAACCGUGCGAACGUUGUUCGGAAUCACUGGGCUUAAAGGGCGCGUAGGCGGCUCCGCCAGUCGGGGGUGAAAUCCCACGGCCUAACCGUGGAAGGGCCUCCGAUACUGCGGGGCUGGAGGGGGGUAGGGGCAGGCGGAACGCUGGGUGGAGCGGUGAAAUGCGUAGAUAUCAGGAGGAACACCGGUGGCGAAGGCGGGUCUCUGGGCCGAUACUGACGCUGAGGAGCGAAAGCGUGGGGAGCGAACAGGA